UGAUCCUGGCUCAGGACGAACGCUGGCGGCGCGCCUAACACAUGCAAGUCGAACGAGAGAGAGGAAGCUUGCUUCCUCAAUCGAGUGGCGAACGGGUGAGUAACGCGUGAGGAACCUGCCUCAAAGAGGGGGACAACAGUUGGAAACGACUGCUAAUACCGCAUAAGCCCACGGCUCGGCAUCGAGCAGAGGGAAAAGGAGCAAUCCGCUUUGAGAUGGCCUCGCGUCCGAUUAGCUAGUUGGUGAGGUAACGGCCCACCAAGGCGACGAUCGGUAGCCGGACUGAGAGGUUGAACGGCCACAUUGGGACUGAGACACGGCCCAGACUCCUACGGGAGGCAGCAGUGGGGAAUAUUGCACAAUGGGGGAAACCCUGAUGCAGCGACGCCGCGUGGAGGAAGAAGGUCUUCGGAUUGUAAACUCCUGUUGUUGAGGAAGAUAAUGACGGUACUCAACAAGGAAGUGACGGCUAACUACGUGCCAGCAGCCGCGGUAAAACGUAGGUCACAAGCGUUGUCCGGAAUUACUGGGUGUAAAGGGAGCGCAGGCGGGAGAACAAGUUGGAAGUGAAAUCCAUGGGCUCAACCCAUGAACUGCUUUCAAAACUGUUUUUCUUGAGUAGUGCAGAGGUAGGCGGAAUUCCCGGUGUAGCGGUGGAAUGCGUAGAUAUCGGGAGGAACACCAGUGGCGAAGGCGGCCUACUGGGCACCAACUGACGCUGAGGCUCGAAAGUGUGGGUAGCAAACAGGAUUAGAUACCCUGGUAGUCCACACCGUAAACGAUGAUUACUAGGUGUUGGAGGAUUGACCCCUUCAGUGCCGCAGUUAACACAAUAAGUAAUCCACCUGGGGAGUACGACCGCAAGGUUGAAACUCAAAGGAAUUGACGGGGGCCCGCACAA
rnacentral:rRNA from 1 species